GUGUGUGUGUCAGUGAGAGGACAGAAGAGCUCACGUCAGUUCAGCUUCAACAUCAACCAUGUUCUCUGUAGCUCUGAUACUGCUGCUGGCAGCUGGAUCAUGUGUGAAGUGUGAACAGUUGACACAGCCAGCCUCUUUGACUGUGCAGCCAGGUCAACGUCUGACCAUCACCUGUCAGGUCUCAUAUUCUGUUAGCAGCUACUACACAGCUUGGAUCAGACAGCCUGCAGGGAAAGGACUGGAGUGGAUGAGUAGUGACUCAAGCGUCAAAGAUUCACUAAAGAACAAGUUUAGUGUCGACUUAGACUCUUCCAGCAACACAGUGACUCUAAAUGGACAGAAUGUGCAGCCUGAAGACACUGCUGUGUAUUACUGUGCCAGAGACACACAACAACACAAACCAUCUGUAGACCUGAACAAAAACCCCUCAGUGCCUGAACACUUGUAACAUGAAGCCACCAGAGGAGGAGCCCUUAGACCACUAAUGAUUUCACACCAGUUCACUGUUACAGUAAAGGGGGAAACAGUUUUCUUUGCAUCUCUCUAUUUUCCCUGCAUUGCCUCACAAUAAUUUGUGCUUUUCCAGAAUGAUAAUUGACUAGAGCACAGACUCAACUAGCAAUAUAUGAUCUGUCAAAAGGCCUCAAUCUGACAAAAGUUAGUUUGUGUGCAGUGACUGUGAGUUUUGAAUGAGAGUUUAUCUAAUCACAGCAGCAUUAAUAUGAUUUAAUUAACACUCAUUCAGUGAAUUACAGAAUUGUAUUAAAUAAUAAGGCCUAUCUCAUACUGAGCAUUACCCACAAUAGAACAAUUAAUAAUUAAUAGAUAAUAUUGUUGAAGGUUUAUAGAAUUCACUGAAUGGCAGAGGCAAUUUUUUGUUUCUGUUGAUAUCUCUCUCUUCAACUUAUGAAAAGAUAAAAAAUAAAAAUGAAAUUGCUGAAAACUUAACAGAGCGCAAUCAUUG